AUACGUAGGGGGCAAGCGUUGUCCGGAACUACUGGGCGUAAAGAGCUCGUAGGCGGCUCAGCAAGUCGGUCGUGAAAGCCCGAGGCUCAACCUCGGAACUGCGGUCGAUACUGCUGUGGCUAGAGUCCGGUAGAGGAGAGUGGAAUUCCCGGUGUAGCGGUGGAAUGCGCAGAUAUCGGGAGGAACACCAGUGGCGAAGGCGGCUCUCUGGGCCGGUACUGACGCUGAGGAGCGAAAGCGUGGGGAGCAAACAGGAUUAGAAACCCUAGUAGUCC
rnacentral:rRNA from 1 species